GGGUGAGUAUCACGUGGGCAACCUGCCCUUGAGACUGGGAUAACUUCGGGAAACCGGAGCUAAUACCGGAUAAUAUAAGGAACCUCCUGGUUCCUUGUUGAAAGAUGGUUUCGGCUAUCACUUAAGGAUGGGCCCGCGGCGCAUUCCUAGUUGGUGAGGUAACGGCUCACCAAGGCGACGAUGCGUAGCCGACCUGAGAGGGUGAUCGGCCACACUGGGACUGAGACACGGCCCAGACUCCUACGGGAGGCAGCAAUAGGGAAUCUUCCACAAUGGACGAAAGUCUGAUGGAGCAACGCCGCGUGAGUGAUGAAGGCCUUCGGGUCGUAAAGCUCUGUUGUUAGGGAAGAACAAGUGCGAGAGUAACUGCUCGCACCUUGACGGUACCUAACCAGAAAGCCACGGCUAACUACGUGCCAGCAGCCGCGGUAAUACGUAGGUGGCAAGCGUUAUCCGGAAUUAUUGGGCGUAAAGCGCGCGCAGGUGGUUUCUUAAGUCUGAUGUGAAAGCCCACGGCUCAACCGUGGAGGGUCAUUGGAAACUGGGGAACUUGAGUGCAGAAGAAGAAAGUGGAAUU
rnacentral:rRNA from 1 species